UCCGUGUGUCUGUGUCUCACCUGUCUGUGUCUGUGUGUCCAUGUGUGUCCCUGUCUGUCUGUGUGUCCGUGUGUCUGUGUGUCCGUGUGUCCGUGUGUCCGUGUGUCCGUGUGUCCGUGUGUCCGUGUGUCUGUGUCUCACCUGUCUGUGUCUGUGUGUCCGUGUGUCUGUGUAUCUCACCUGUCCGUGUGUGUGUGUGUGUGUGUCUGUGUGUCCGUGUGUCUGUGUCUGUGUAUCUCACCUGUGUGUCUGUGUGUCCAUGUCCGUGUGUCCCUGUCCCUCACCUGGCCCUGUUCCACCUGUGUGUCUGUGUCUCACCUGUCUGUCUGUCCGUGUGUGUGCGUGUCCGUGUGUCCCUGUGCCCGUGUGUCCGUGUGUCUGUGUAUCUCACCUGUCCGUGUGUCUGUGUGUCCCUGUGCCCGUGUGUCUGUGUCUCACCUGUCCGUGUGUCCCUGUGCCCGUGUGUCUGUGUGUCUGUGUCUCACCUGUCUGUGUGUCCAUGUGUGUCCCUGUCUGUCCGUGUGUCUGUGUGUCCAUGUGUGUCUCACCUGUCCGUGUGUCUGUGUGUCUGUGUCUCACCUGUCUGUGUGUCCAUGUGUGUCCCUGUCUGUCUGUGUGUCCGUGUGUCUGUGUGUCCAUGUGUGUCUCACCUGUCCGUGUGUCCCUGUGCCUCACCUGGCCCUGUUCCACCUGUGUGUCUGUGUCUCACCUGUCUGUCUGUCCGUGUGUGUGCGUGUCCGUGUGUCCGUGUGUCUGUGUCUCACCUGUCCGUGUGUCCCUGUGCCCGUGUGUCCGUGUGUCUGUGUCUCACCUGUCUGUGUGUGUGUGUGUGUGUGUCUGUGUGUCCGUGUGUCUGUGUAUCUCACCUGUGUGUCUGUGUGUCCAUGUCUGUGUGUCCAUGUCUCACCUGUGUCUCACCUGUCCCCAGGUCCAAGUCCAGGACGGUCCUGAUGAGAACGGGGAGCUGUUCCUGCAGCUCUGUGUGUCCGUCUGUGUCUCACCUGUCCGUGUGUCUGUCCAUAUCUCACCUGUCCAUGUCUCACCUGUCCGUGUCUGUCCAUGUCUCACCUGUCCGUGUCUCACCUGUCCGUGUGUCCGUCUGUGUCUCACCUGUCCAUGUGUCUGUCCAUGUCUCACCUGUCCAUAUCUCACCUGUCCAUGUCUCACCUGUCCAUGUGUCUGUCCAUAUCUCACCUGUCCGUGUGUCUGUCCAUGUCUCACCUGUCCAUGUCUCACCUGUCCAUGUCUCACCUGUCCGUGUGUCUGUCCAUAUCUCACCUGUCCGUGUGUCUGUCUAUGUCUCACCUGUGUCUCACCUGUCCAGGUGGAGGUGCAGGAUGGCCCAGAUGAGAACGGGGAGCUGUUCCUGUGUGCGUGUGUGUGUGUCCAUGUCUCAACUGUCUCACCUGCCCAGGUGGAGGUCCAGGACGGCCCUGAUGAGAACGGGGAGCUGUUCCUGUGUGUGUGUGUCCAUGUCUCACCUGUGUCUCACCUGUGUCUCACCUGCCCAGGUGGAGGUGCAGGACGGCCCUGAUGAGAACGGGGAGCUGUUCCU
rnacentral:lncRNA from 1 species